rnacentral:rRNA from 1 species
GGCGUGUGACUGCGUACCUUUUGUAUAAUGGGUCAGCGACUUAUAUUCUGUAGCAAGGUUAACCGAAUAGGGGAGCCGAAGGGAAACCGAGUCUUAACUGGGCGUUAAGUUGCAGGGUAUAGACCCGAAACCCGGUGAUCUAGCCAUGGGCAGGUUGAAGGUUGGGUAACACUAACUGGAGGACCGAACCGACUAAUGUUGAAAAAUUAGCGGAUGACUUGUGGCUGGGGGUGAAAGGCCAAUCAAACCGGGAGAUAGCUGGUUCUCCCCGAAAGCUAUUUAGGUAGCGCCUCGUGAAUUCAUCUCCGGGGGUAGAGCACUGUUUCGGCAAGGGGGUCAUCCCGACUUACCAACCCGAUGCAAACUGCGAAUACCGGAGAAUGUUAUCACGGGAGACACACGGCGGGUGCUAACGUCCGUCGUGAAGAGGGAAACAACCCAGACCGCCAGCUAAGGUCCCAAAGUCAUGGUUAAGUGGGAAACGAUGUGGGAAGGCCCAGACAGCCAGGAUGUUGGCUUAGAAGCAGCCAUCAUUUAAAGAAAGCGUAAUAGCUCACUGGUCGAGUCGGCCUGCGCGGAAGAUGUAACGGGGCUAAACCAUGCACCGAAGCUGCGGCAGCGACACUGUGUGUUGUUGGGUAGGGGAGCGUUCUGUAAGCCUGUGAAGGUGUACUGUGAGGUAUGCUGGAGGUAUCAGAAGUGCGAAUGCUGACAUAAGUAACGAUAAAGCGGGUGAAAAGCCCGCUCGCCGGAAGACCAAGGGUUCCUGUCCAACGUUAAUCGGGGCAGGGUGAGUCGACCCCUAAGGCGAGGCCGAAAGGCGUAGUCGAUGGGAAACAGGUUAAUAUUCCUGUACUUGGUGUUACUGCGAAGGGGGGACGGAGAAGGCUAUGUUGGCCGGGCGACGGUUGUCCCGGUUUAAGCGUGUAGGCUGGUUUUCCAGGCAAAUCCGGAAAAUCAAGGCUGAGGCGUGAUGACGAGGCACUACGGUGCUGAAGCAACAAAUGCCCUGCUUCCAGGAAAAGCCUCUAAGCAUCAGGUAACAUCAAAUCGUACCCCAAACCGACACAGGUGGUCAGGUAGAGAAUACCAAGGCGCUUGAGAGAACUCGGGUGAAGGAACUAGGCAAAAUGGUGCCGUAACUUCGGGAGAAGGCACGCUGAUAUGUAGGUGAAGCGACUUGCUCGUGGAGCUGAAAUCAGUCGAAGAUACCAGCUGGCUGCAACUGUUUAUUAAAAACACAGCACUGUGCAAACACGAAAGUGGACGUAUACGGUGUGACGCCUGCCCGGUGCCGGAAGGUUAAUUGAUGGGGUUAGCGCAAGCGAAGCUCUUGAUCGAAGCCCCGGUAAACGGCGGCCGUAACUAUAACGGUCCUAAGGUAGCGAAAUUCCUUGUCGGGUAAGUUCCGACCUGCACGAAUGGCGUAAUGAUGGCCAGGCUGUCUCCACCCGAGACUCAGUGAAAUUGAACUCGCUGUGAAGAUGCAGUGUACCCGCGGCAAGACGGAAAGACCCCGUGAACCUUUACUAUAGCUUGACACUGAACAUUGAGCCUUGAUGUGUAGGAUAGGUGGGAGGCUUUGAAGUGUGGACGCCAGUCUGCAUGGAGCCGACCUUGAAAUACCACCCUUUAAUGUUUGAUGUUCUAACGU